AAAGCCCUGAAGUUCUGGGAUGUUGUGAUUGAUACCAGUCCAUGGAUAAAUGCUGCUGUUUUUGAUCCUAGGAUAUGGGACAAGAUAAUGGCAAGUGUGUGAAAAGCUGAAAUGAGACAGGGGUAUACUUUACCACUACAUUUUUUUUUCUAUUGUGACAACCAUUCAGCAAAGUUUAAGAGGCCCUCCAACAGAUCCCUUGUCUCUUGCAACAGAUCCCAUAUAAUGAUGGCCCUGAGGGAAGAAGAGGAUAUGAAAAACAGGCUAAGGGGAAAAAAAUGUGGUGAUGUGAAUCUACUUCAAAGCAAGAAACCACAACAGAUACAGGAGGGGGAGAGGCAGGAAACUGUACUGCUGGCCUUCAUGGUGCAGGAAGAUGUGACCACAAAUAGUGCAAGUGCACCUUCUACUGACAAGCAAAAAUUAUAUCCUUCCCUGAGUCAAUGGUAAUUGCCUCCUUAUGAGACAACACCAAAGCCAGCAAGGGACUAUGACAGCUUAGAAAUGGCCAGGCUGCCAGAUAGGCCCAAGCCAUAGUCUCCCAGAACCCAUUCCAGGAGGCCAGAGAUCCUUUUGAAGAUCUAUGUAAGAUAAGAGAAAAAGUGGGGUAAGGGAAUACAAGCCUUCACAGUCAACACAGACCCCACACCACAGUGCCCUGUCACUUGUUAUUCACAUGCAUUGAGUACCCUGAAAGGGUUAAAGAAGGCAGUAAAAGAGGAUUCACCCAGGGGGACAUUUGCAGAGCAAAUGCUUGAAUUACUUAGUCUCAAACUUACUUGCCCUCAAGACUAGAAAGACCUAGCCAGAGCCACUCUUCAGCCUGCAACAUUUUUGAAGUUUAAGGCAUUCUUCCAUGAUAAAUAUGAACAGCAGGGGGAAUCUUCACCACAACACAAAUGUUAACUCCCAGCUGAAUGCUUGCAGAGAGAGGAAAUCUACUGUUCCCUUGCAGUACAGGCUACAGGCCCACCAAAUUAUUUUGAUCAGGUGCAACUCUGGGCUCUAAGAGCCUGGAGGAAGUUACCAGCUGGGGGAGGGAUAGUUUCUAUACAAGUCUUAAGGAAGAAAGACACUGAGGACAUGCCACAGUUUAUUGACAGAAUAAACAAGGUGGUAGAAGGGAAGGUGUCUCAUGAAGAAUCUAAAUUAAAAAAAAAAA
rnacentral:lncRNA from 1 species